UGAAAGAGCAAUGAAAAAUGUAGUACGGCUCCAAAAAGGGGAAGAAAACUGUGACCGAGUCCGAAGGGGAACUCAAAGGGAAGGGCCAUUCCCGUAAUCGCAAGUGGUCCUCUUCAGAUGAAGAGUCAGAGAACGAAGAUAGGCGCCAUGCUACGAAGGUAUCCAAGGCUAUAGGCCUACCACCUCCGCCACUACAAAAUCUACUCUGAUGGGUGCUCACUUAGUUGCCAGCACAUCAUGGGCAUCAGUGCUACUACCAGCUAUGGCUACAGAUAUUACCGCUGUUUGUGGUUGAAAAAAAACAGCCCAUACAGGUUUUUGACGACAACCUUGAUAAGUGUGUUAGAGACGAAAUCCUUACUAAUUUCACAUGGAAAGGGCAAAAAAGAGGAGGCGUUAAAAAUCUUCAUUUGCAGAUUUGGCAUUUUGCAAUGUUUUAAUAAGUGCAGAAUGAAAUGUUUUGAACGUAUAACUGAAGAGGACCAAUUAGAUAUUCUAAAUAGGGAGGAAGCUUUCAAAACAAAGAUGAACAAGAUUUGUUUUAUCAGUCAUUAAUAGAAGCCCAGCCUGUUAAAACUAGAAGAUCAAGAAUUACUACACAAACUGAAGAAGGACUUAAACCUAAGCAUUCUGUUGCACAUGAAAGUUCUUUUACCUUUCAUGUACUGGUUGGUGAAAAAAGUUAAAGUUUGCAAAAAGGC